rnacentral:rRNA from 1 species
CGCGCAAAUUACCCAAUUCUAACAGUUUGAGAGAGGUAGUAACAAGAAAUAACAAUACAAGGCAGUUAAAAUGCUUUGUAAUUGGAAUGAUAGAAAUUUAAACCCUUUUUAAAGUAUCAAUUGGAGGGCAAGACUGGUGCCAGCAGCCGCGGUAAUUCCAGCUCCAAUAGCGUAUAUUAAAAUUGUUGCAGUUAAAAAGCUCGUAGUUGAAGUUCUGCUAAAAGUAACCGGUCUG